UACGUAGGGUGCAAGCGUUGUCCGGAAUUAUUGGGCGUAAAGAGCGUGUAGGCGGCCAGAUAAGUCCGCUGUGAAAUCUCGAGGCUCAACUUCGAGCUGUCGGUGGAAACUAUCUGGCUAGAGUCCGGAAGAGGAGAAUGGAAUUCCUGGUGUAGCGGUGAAAUGCGCAGAUAUCAGGAGGAACACCGGUGGCGAAGGCGGCCUGCUGGGCAGUUGCUGACACUGAGGCGCGACAGCGUGGGGAGCAAACAGG
rnacentral:rRNA from 1 species